CUGGCUGCAGAGUUCAGGUAGGAGUCCCAAGGGUGUCAUUAUCUGCCAAAAGAAUCACCCCGAUCCUGUCCACAGCUACAGUAGUUACCAGCUCAACUAACCUAACAGUGUAAAAAUAAAUGCUCCCAGAAGUCCGGUCAGGAGUCACUGUGUACAAUCUCAGUAUCCACUGCUGCAUCUCCUAUCUGUCAGGAAGUCUCGAAGAGAUAAUCUGCCAUCAGCAGUGUCUAGCAGCAGCUUAUUCCAUUCUCCCUAUUUAGAACACAUGGACACUCUGCCAAACUGAGCAGGCAUGUGUACUGGAGGGUCAGAAAGAAGCCGCCAGUCAACCAAGCUUUCAGCAACAACUAUCUAGAAUGUGUAGCUGGUACUGUCAAUGAUCGAGCCUCCUGAUAAAAGCCACCACAAGAAACUAUCAUCAGCGGCUCCACUCUGUAAAUCGCACUGACCUGUUUGGCAAAUACAGCAAUGUCUUCGUUGAAUGAAUCCGA